AUUGAACGCUGGCGGCAUGCCUUACACAUGCAAGUUGAACGGCAGCACGGGGCAACCUGGUGGCGAGUGGCGAACGGGUGAGUAAUGCAUCGGAACGUACCUUUCAGUGGGGGAUAACGUAGCGAAAGUUACGCUAAUACCGCAUAUUCUGUGAGCAGGAAAGCAGGGGAUCGCAAGACCUUGCGCUGAUUGAGCGGCCGAUGUCAGAUUAGCUAGUUGGUGAGGUAAAGGCUCACCAAGGCGACGAUCUGCAGCGGGUCUGAGAGGAUGAUCCGCCACACUGGGACUGAGACACGGCCCAGACUCCUACGGGAGGCAGCAGUGGGGAAUAUUGGACAAUGGGGGCAACCCUGAUCCAGCAAUGCCGCGUGUGUGAAGAAGGCCUUAGGGUUGUAAAGCACUUUAGAUGGGGAAGAAGGUAUGGUGUUUAAGAGAUGUCAUAUUUGACUGUACCCAUAGAAUAAGCACCGGCUAACUCUGUGCCAGCAGCCGCCGUAAGAC
rnacentral:rRNA from 1 species